CCUCCCUCUGACCAACAAAACACUACAGCCAAGCGCAGUCACACGCCUUGUACGCUCGAGUGGGAUUAUUGUCAUUUCACUCUUCAUAAUUCUUGUGAGUUAUCGGCUAUCUACGGUCUUGUGAAACUUGUAUGACCAGGGUUUUGUGGAACUUGUGAUUAUGCGCCUACGGCGAGUAUGGGGACGGCACAAGGAGAAGAUACUUGUAGCAGGCCUCUUGGCUCUUGUUUUUGUUGUCAUGGCUCCUCCAAAACCUAUACGUGACAUGGUAAUGAGAGAGGAGGAAGGUGUGGUGAUAGUAGAUGGAGUGAGGAAGAAGGACUACAAUGACUAUAUGUACCUUAAGAAAGAAGUAUUGCAGACUGGCCUAGGUGAACAUGGAAUUGGUGGAUCACUUAGCCCAGCAUUUGACAAGGAAAAGGAAGAGCUCUACAAGGUGAAUGGGUUUAAUGCUAGACUUUCUGAUGAUAUUGCAUUAAACCGUUCACUCAGUGACAUUCGUCAUCCCAAGUGUAAAAAAAAGCUGUACCUUGUAGAUCUUCCAAAUGCAGCUGUGGUAGUGCCUUUCCACAAUGAACACUGGACCACUCUUCUUCGCACUGCAUUUUCUGCUUACAACAGGUCACCAAAACACCUUUUGAAGGAAAUCAUUCUUGUAGAUGAUGCCAGUACCAAAGAUUUUCUCGGAAAGAAACUAGAUGACUAUUUAGAGGAACAUUUACCCAUUGCUCGGGUGGUUCGCCUUCCUUCUCGCUGGGGUUUGAUCCGUGCCAGACUGGAAGGAGCAAAGCACGCAACUGCAGACGUGCUCAUUUUUCUGGAUUCACAUACUGAGUGUACAACCAACUGGCUGCCACCACUAUUAGAACCAAUUGCAGUCAACUAUAAGACAGCAGUGUGUCCUUUCAUCGAUGUGAUUGACUUUGAAACAUUUGAAUACCGCGCUCAGGAUGAGGGACGUCGAGGGUCUUUUGACUGGGAAUUUUAUUACAAGAGGUUACCAGUAUUACCAGAAGAUGAAGCUAAUAUGCCGGAACCGUUUAAGAGCCCAGUCAUGGCUGGUGGAUUGUUUGCAAUUAGCUCCAAAUUCUUUUGGGAAAUUGGUGGUUAUGACCCUGGACUGGACAUCUGGGGUGGAGAACAGUACGAAUUGUCUUUCAAAGUAUGGCAGUGUCAUGGGACAAUGGUUGAUACCCCAUGUUCUAGGAUUGGCCACAUAUAUCGCAAGUUUGCCCCAUUCCCAAACCCUCGAAAAGACAACUUCAUUGCCAGGAAUUAUCGUCGUGUAGCAGAGGUGUGGAUGGACGAGUAUAAAAAAUACCUUUAUAUGAGGCAACCUGGAUGGCUACAGGUUGACACAGGAGACAUCAGUGAACAACUGGCAGUGAGGGAACGUAACAAGUGUAAACCCUUCAAGUGGUUUAUGGAAAAUGUUGCUUUUGAUCUGGCCAAACAUUACCCUCUUAUUGAGCCACCAGACUAUUGCAAUGGAACAAUCCAAAGCCUUGCAAACACCAACUUGUGUGUGGAUUCCCAGAUGAAAGGACAAUUUGACAGAUUGGACUCACUUGGGGAGUGCGGACCAAAUAUGCAGUUUCAGUUUCAACUAACUGCAUUCAAAGAUAUACGUCCCCUCAAGAGCCACAAUUGCUUUGAUGUGCCAGAUUUGAAAGGGGAAAAAGCACCUGUAUUACUUUAUGGUUGUCAUAAAGGGCUUGGUAACCAGAUGUGGAGAUAUGACAUGGAGAAUCAGUUAAUCAGGUUUGGAGGACAAGAAACUCACUGCCUUGACUCAAGCACAUCCAACAAAGAAGUGUUUGUGUCCAUGUGUGAUCUAAAUUCACAAACACAAAAAUGGAAAUGGAGUUUUGUGAACAAGGACAGGCUGAAUAAUUAUAAAAAUCUAGAUCCCAAACCAUAGGUUUUGUUACUUCAUUAUGUAUACAAGUGUGCUGCAUCUAUAAUGAAGAGUUAUCACUCACUAUAUGACUUGUACCGUAUUUAACCCAUUGCUUUAAUUCUCUUUAUAAUAUCAAAUAUAUUUUGUUCUUAAUAUCAAGGAGAUAGGUUGCAGCCCAACUCUGUCUUUACCAGCAAUACCUCCUAGGUUCCACACUAGGUAGUGGUACAAUAAUUAGGCAGCUAUAUAAAAAGCUUCUUUAUUACACAUUCCAGUGUUACACCAGUGUGCCAGUGCAGUAGUACUGUACUGUAUAAUAUUAGUUUUAUAUUACCGGUAUGUGUAUAUUGAAAAAAUAUUUUUGUAAGUGAUUUGACAAUUAUCUUUCUCUUUUACUCUUUAUCCUUCUUGCCACUUAUUAGCUUACUAGCCAGUACAAAUGGUACAGUAUAGGAGUGUUCAGUGAGGUUAUGAUGGUACAGUAUAGGACUGUUCAGUGAGGUUAUGAGGGUACAGUAUAGGAGUGUUCAAUGAGGUUAUGAUGGUACAGUAUAGGAGUGUUCAGUGAGGUUAUGAUAGUACAGUAUAGGAGUGUUCAGUGAGGUUAUGAUGGUACAGUAUAGGAGUGUUCAGUGAGGUUAUGAUGGUACAGUAUAGGAGUGUUCAGUGAGGCGAGGUUGUUUGGACAUACUGUAUUGUGCUUUGCCCGUGCUUGACACCUUUUUCUUAGGGUGAAUGACUUCAAUUGCAUGUCAUUUAUAUUAGCAUUCUUUCUGUGAAAAGCUUAUUUUAAGAUCACAUAUUUGGGGCUUGUAUGUAGUUACUCUAAAGAAUGACAUUUAGGCAGCAUAAUGUUAUUGUAUCUGAUAUUAAAGGUAAUUUCUUGUAAUGUCCCAUGUUAUAUUUAGCAUUGUAAUAAUUAGCAAUGUUCUAAACUAGAAAUUC
rnacentral:misc_RNA from 1 species